rnacentral:rRNA from 1 species
GACGAACGCUGGCGGCGUGCCUAACACAUGCAAGUCGAGCGAAUGAAGUUCCUUCGGGAACGGAUUUAGCGGCGGACGGGUGAGUAACACGUGGGCAACCUGCCUCAUAGAGGGGAAUAGCCUUCCGAAAGGGAGAUUAAUACCGCAUAAGAUUGUAGUACCGCGUGGUACAGCAAUUAAAGGAGCAAUCCGCUAUGAGAUGGGCCCGCGGCGCAUUAGCUAGUUGGUGAGGUAACGGCUCGCCAAGGCGACGAUGCGUAGCCGACCUGAGAGGGUGAUCGGCCACAUUGGGACUGAGACACGGCCCAGACUCCUACGGGAGGCAGCAGUGGGGAAUAUUGCACAAUGGGGGAAACCCUGAUGCAGCAACGCCGCGUGAGUGAUGACGGCCUUCGGGUUGUAAAGCUCUGUCUUCAGGGACGAUAAUGACGGUACCUGACUAAGAAGCCCCGGCUAACUACGUGCCAGCCGCCGCGGUAACAC